rnacentral:lncRNA from 1 species
UGAUUGCUCUUACCAAGUAUUUUUAAAAUCUUUAUCUUUUUGUUCUAUUGAUCAGAUGACUCUGAAGCUGUGAAAUAUAAAUCAGAGAGAAAGGAGCUCUAAGAAGGAUAUCAUUUAAGCUCCAGAGAUGCUUCAUGAGAUACGCAGCACUACUGUAGAAUUCAAGUCAGCUCACACUUGGAUACUCAAAUCUAGAAAGUCUUCACAAUGAGCUUUAUCAAUGCUACUGCUGUGCACUCUGCUGUGACUUUGCCUGACUACACCUUAACCUCUCUGUCAUGUAAAAUGAGGUAAGCUAUACUUCCAUAAAUUUUGCAGCUUGCCUGAGACAUUCACUUUAAAAUUUCUAUUCAAAAUUCUCUUAUUAUUUCUGAAUGACAGAGAUAUGAAAUGUAGCCUUUUUUAUAAUUAAUCUGAAUUUCUUGUUUAAUUAAUUGCAGUAUUUACACUUCUAAUUUGUCCCCAGUCAGAAAAUCAGUUUAUUCUGGUGCAUUGGGCAGCAGUGUCCAAUACUAAAACAUACAAACUGUUGCAGGCCUGAUUUCUAUUAUUAAAAAUGGCUAAUUUUGAGGCACUUGCACAUGUUCAUGGCUCUUGUGUCGUAUGAAUGUGCAAUGAGAAGAUGUGUAGGU